UUCACCCUCGUCUCAGGCGAUUAUAAUCACCACAGCCGAUCGAUGAUCGGCACGUUUCGUCGUGGCACGUGACUCCCUUUGCCGACCGUUUCACGAUUCGUUGUCCACCGCUCGUUAGGCUAGUCUCGGGAUUUACGAUUUUACCGUGCGAAAUACGCGCGAAUAAUCAAGAGAAAAAGAGGCAGAGAGGAAAGAUUUCGCGCGGCGGGGCAUGUAGCGCAUGGCACAAGGAGCGGAAUCGCCUGUAAUGACUGUGAAGCAUCCCUGCGAGGUCGAUCCGCGGCCGAGCAUUAUGCUUUCGUAAAAUAUCACGGUCAGUCGCGCCACGAAUGGAAGUCGACGAUGAUCAUGCUUCCUUUACAUCGCGCGUACAUAAAGUGUGAGACACGCGUUGCGUGUGACCCGCGUCGCGCAAUCAGCGUCGCGUUAACGCACGGUAUUCAACCUUGUCGCGGAAAAAUAACGUUGAUCAAGGUCGACGUCGGCUGUCUCGAUCAUGGUAGCAUAGUUGCUGCAGGAGAUGUGAUGACGUAGUGAAAUUUGUCAAGUAACUUAAAAUACUUUGGAGAACAUAAGAGACAAUGACAGAGAAAAGUCAGAGAGAAAUACUAUACAUUCCAUAAAAUGUAAACUAAAACAUGCAUAAUCGAAGUGCAGUUUCAUCACAAAUACGAUAAGUAUUGGAUUUUAAUAUAACUUGUAUCACAUCGAUAUCGCUGAUUUACAUCGGCAAGAAAUUAAUACAGUUAACUGUAAAAUGAAAAUACGUUUGUCAUGAAAUAGCAAUUGCUACGUUAUGCAAAUCGUUGCGACAGACAUGUUUCUAGAACUGCGUUUGUUUUAUUCAACAGAGCACAUUCGUUCAAAGUUUUCCUAUUUUUCCGAGAUCUUAACAAGUCGAUUACAACACGCUCUCGUUACAUUUGCUUCGUUGUAUCUAUUCAACUGAACGGCACACGUUAACAUGCAUUAACCAUAAGCGCGUCCUGCAUUUUUAGAAGUACGAUCGGACAAUCUCGAGUGUCAAGCGUCCUCGCAGUAACUGAAACAAUAAUUAACUCUGUCGCGUUUCGUUAUGUGCGACGCAACGAGCGGGCAGCGAAACUUUCAAGCCUCGAAAGCUUAUCUGACACUCUGAAUCAGUGAACAGUAGACCUACGAAACAAGCGAGUGCCAUCAUUAGAAUUCGUGUCGUUUCCUCUACACAGCCUGAAGGACUGAUUCGAAGUUCCAUGCUCGAAUAAUUUUGUAACCACUUUUACAACGAUCCGCGAGUACCUAUAACGAUUCUUUAUUUCAUGCCGAUAACGGAUUAGCAAUACGAGAAAAUGUUUCACUUUCGUAUUCCUACUGGAUUUAUAUUAAAUGUAAUUAAUAAAGUUGUUCUUCGAUUCUUAAGUAAAAUCUUAACACGGUCGUUGCUGGUGAUUUUAUAGAAAUCCUAAAAUAGAAAAGUACAUUGUGAUUAAAGCAAAGAUAGGAAUUUGAAGAGUUGUCUUUUAAAUAUCAUAUUUUAUGUCACUUUUUGUCGUUUAUUAUAAUUCAAAUAAAUGCAAAAAAUUCUUGAGGUUUCUGAGAUAAAAAAUAGUAAAACAUACCUCACUAUCAUUAUCAUUUUGCAAUAAAAUACCUUUUAUUAUGUUAUCUAGGUAUUUCAGAUGGAGUUAUUGAUGAAGAUCUACUUAUUCCUUGAAUGGGACAUUCUACGAAACGUUUAAUUCAUCAUUCCGUAUUUUGUGCUUAUAGAACUCUGAAAUAUAGGAAUACGCAGUUCGGAGGAAGCCAUAAAAAAGCAUAGGGUUAUUUUCUCGUCGCUUUAUCGGGUGAAGAAGAAUGUUCCAUUCAUACUUUUACACACCAUUUAUGGACGCCUUAUGUGUGCGAUAUCAGCCUUAUCAGCACUUCUACGCCGCCUACAAUUUAAUGCGGCUGUAUGCGCAUGUAGAGCUAUCGGAAAAGGAAAGACGGCGUUGCAAGAAAUGCUACCUGCGCAGCAAACAAUCGUAGAACUCCUUGUCGACGAGUAUUCAAUGCCAAUCCCAGGGAUUCAAAUAUCGUUCUAAUUCUUUGUCCUUUACUACACGACAGCUUCGAUAUUUAUGACGACAAUGUAAAACAGUCGAGUAUUAUAUUCACCUAUUACAAGAAACAGAUAGAAAUUUUAUUAGCGAAAUGUUUUUCUAUGAAAAUAAUUUCUAAGAACUUCUGUUUGUAAUAUUUGCUAUUUUUAUAAAAUAGUAUUUAUCAUUUUUAAUAUUUACGAAUACAUAUUUAUUAAGACAAGUUGGAAAUCAGAUUAAGAUUGAGAUAUCAACCUAUGGAUCGAGUAGCAAAGAAAUGCAUAGAAAUUGUGUAAAUGCAAUAUUAUUUAAAAAAGAAAAUACUAGUUCCAAAAAAAUGUCCAUAAUUUAACAAAUAUUUUAUCAUACUACUCUAAA